ACGUACACUAGUUCAAACUGGAAUAUCCAGAGACCAAAGGAUUAAGAAAGGACUUUGGGAUAAACAGCCUGAUUUUAAACUGAUUCAGUGCCUUCUUUCUGAUCCAGCAAAUGGACAGGACCUUUUAUCCAAUGACGGCCAUAACCAUUCCUGGGAAGAGUGGGAAGGACUUUGGCCUACUGAAGCCUCACAAGACUGAUGGGUAACCUCUGGUUUCCAUGAGCAACAAACUCUGUAUCAUGAGAUAUAACACCACCAAAUUUUUUUGGUCACAGAUUUGGCUUGAGGAGCCAUCUGGUAGGAUUGAGCUCUAACUGGGCGAGCAUCACCUGUGUCAAUGGAGUGGUAUGCCCGUUCUGUCCGUCCUGGGGUGGCUAAAAACAUUGGCGCCAAGCUGGUGCACAGCUCCUGGAUUUGCUGUCGUUGCUUACACCCAAGGGUCAUGGAAAGGCUCACCUCUUCCACGUCACCGUUGAUUUUCCGUCAUAGUAGACUCCUUCAGGCCACUCAGCGUCAUCUGUCUCCCGGGCUGUGAACUGGAGAACCUUGAUUUCUCAGGAAUCAAAGGGCUUUAGAGAAUUAACAUGGUAUACCUUAGGUUUUAGGUUAGGGUCUGGGAAUGCAAUGAGGUAAUUAACAGCUCCCAAGUGCUCUUGGACCAUAAAUGGCCCCUCCCAUGACGCUUCCAUCUUAUUGGCCUGGAGUGCUUUCAGGACCAUGACUUGGUCACCUACUCCGAAGGAACGCUCUCUGGCAUGUUUACCAUACCAGGCCUUUUGCUCUUGUUGAGCAUCCUGUAGGUUUUCUCGAGAAAGGGCUAGAGAGUCUUUGAGGGUGUUUCGCAGGUUGGUCAUAAAGUCCAAAAUGUUAGUUCCUGGAGAAGAUAUAACC